GCAAACGGGUGCGGAACACGUACGCAAUCUACCCAGAACAGGUGAAUAGCCCUCCGAAAGGAGGAUUAAUACAC
rnacentral:rRNA from 1 species